rnacentral:ncRNA from 1 species
UGUGUGGGGAGUCCCAGACUUGAACAUAAUACUCUAGAUGAGAUUUCACAAGAGCAGAGUAGAGAGGGUCAAUCUCUUGUGGAGCAGAAGGGCAAAAGCUCGCUUGAUCUUGAUUUUCAGUAUGAAUACAGACCGUGAAAGCGGGGCCUCACAAUCCUUCUGACUUCUUGGGUUUUAAGCAGGAG